rnacentral:rRNA from 1 species
CCUCAAGUGGUCAGGAUGAUUAUUGGGCCUAAAGCAUCCGUAGCCGGCUCUGUAAGUUUUCGGUUAAAUCUGUACGCUUAACGUACAGGCUGCCGGGAAUACUGCAGAGCUAGGUAGUGGGAGAGGUAGACGGUACUCGGUAGGAAGGGGUAAAAUCCUUUGAUCUAUUGAUGACCACCUGUGGCGAAGGCGGUCUACCAGAACACGUACGACGGUGAGGGAUGAAAGCUGGGGGAGCAAACCGGAUUAGAUACCCGGGUAGUCCCAGCUGUAAACUAUGCAAACUCAGUGAUGCAUUGGCUUGUGGCCAAUGCAGUGCUGCAGGGAAGCCGUUAAGUUUGCCGCCUGGGAAGUACGUACGCAAGUAUGAAACUUAAAGGAAUUGGCGGGGGAGCACCACAAGGGGUGAAGC